rnacentral:rRNA from 1 species
GAUGAACGCUGGCGGCGUGCCUAAUACAUGCAAGUCGAGCGAACGGACGAGAAGCUUGCUUCUCUGAUGUUAGCGGCGGACGGGUGAGUAACACGUGGAUAACCUACCUAUAAGACUGGGAUAACUUCGGGAAACCGGAGCUAAUACCGGAUAAUAUUUUGAACCGCAUGGUUCAAAAGUGAAAGACGGUCUUGCUGUCACUUAUAGAUGGAUCCGCGCUGCAUUAGCUAGUUGGUAAGGUAACGGCUUACCAAGGCAACGAUGCAUAGCCGACCUGAGAGGGUGAUUGGCCAGACUGGAACUGAGGCACGGUCCAGACUCCUACGGGAGGCAGCAGUAGGGAAUCUUCCGCAAAGGGCGAAAGCCUGACGGAGCAACGCCGCGUGAGUGAUGAAGGUCUUCGGAUCGUAAAACUCUGUUAUUAGGGAAGAACAUAUGUGUAAGUAACUGUGCACAUCUUGACGGUACCUAAUCAGAAAGCCACGGCUAACUACGUG